CACAGAUGACAUGAGAACACUGAAUGGCAAUCUUACAGUCACAGCAUGGCUGAGGUUGGAGGCACCUUGGGGUCCCUCUGCCCCAGCACUGCCCCAGCAGAGCCACCCAGAGCAGGGCCCAGCCCCACGGGCAGCUCCAAGGAGGAGACCCCACAGCCUCAGGGCAGCCUGUGCCAGGGCUCUACCACUGCACAGCACAGCAGUGCUGCCUGAUGGGCAGAGGGAACUGCUGUGCUCGGUUGUGCACACUGCCUCUGCUCCUGGCACUGGGCACCACUGCAAGGAACCCAGCUGUACCCUCUUUGCAGCUCCCUUAGGGCAUUUAUGGAUAUGGAUGAGCUCCCUCUGAGCCUUCUCCAGCUGAACAGCCCUGGCUUUCUCAGCCUCUCCUCACAGGAGAGGUGCUCCAAACCCCUCAGCACUUCAGCGGGUCCUUAGUUGUACUCUCUCUAGUAGCCCAAUAUUUCUCAAUACUGAGAUCAUUCUUUUUUUUCCUUUUCUGGCAAUGAUAGAACACAAGAAUCAGCACUGAUGAUACCAAGAGCACAAAGAAGUGGAAGUUAAAAAACAGAGAAAGAAGAGAGAACCGCCAAGCUGAAGCAAUGUUAUCAGCAGAGAUCGGUGCAAACACAGCCUCCACAACUCAGCAAGAUGCACCUCCGAGUGCUCCUGGAAGGAUCCUGUGUCAGGAUCGAUAUCUAUAGACAACCUCUAUGAAGCCAAAAAGGAAGCAUUUCUGUGUAUCAAUACACAAUGCCUUACGAGGAAGAAAAAAGAACAUCUUCUUUUUAACUGCCACUCAGUGCUUUUGCUUUUUAAACUGUCUGAUGGCCAAGUUCAAAUGCAAUUUGUCCUGCACAGUCAUUGCCCAAAGUGGACAACAUAAUUAAUCAUCUAUCCUUAUGCACUUGUGACUUAAAAUGACUUUUAGCUAAAUACUCUUACCCUAGCUCUCCCCUUGAUUAAUCCUGAACCAUGUAAGCAUGAAUUUUAUUACUGGCUCUCUCCUUCUGUCAGCUGGAAUGUCACGCUGGAAUAUAAUGAAAAUAAAAUCAUAGUAUGUUCAUUUCCCCACUGCUCUAAAAAUGCCAUUUAUUUCCUUUUUGAAAUACUUUUUAG
ensembl:lncRNA